UACGUAGGCAGCGAGCGUUGUUCGGAAUUACUGGGCGUAAAGAGUGUGUAGGCGGUGCUCCCAGUCUGUUGUGAAAUCUCCCGGCUUAACUGGGAGGGUGCAGCGGAAACUAGAGUGCUAGAGGGUGGGAGAGGUAAGCGGAAUUCCUGGUGUAGCGGUGAAAUGCGCAGAUAUCAGGAGGAACACCGAUGGCGAAGGCAGGUCUCUGGGCCACUACUGACGCUGAGAAGCGAAAGCAUGGGGAGCAAACAGG
rnacentral:rRNA from 1 species